AAACCAGUAUCGCAUGUAAGUACUCGCCAGUUGAGAACAAUCACUGAUCGACGAAGACGUGACAUCUAGUGGGCAAAAAGUUGAGUGUAAAUCGAGGAAUUCAAUCACUUGGAAGUAAGAUGGGCAAAACAAAGAAUAUCGUGAAGCGACCUAAGGCUAAAGUACAUAAGAAGGCGCCUGUCAAAAGACCGAGGCUACCCCCUCUCAAGAGUGUUUUUAGCUCGGGCGGAUCAGCAAUGUCCAGAAAAAGGUUUAAAAUGGGAAACAACCAGUUUGAUUCCUUUCAAUUUUGUGGACAGUACCAUACUUUUCGCCGUCGCUAACUUCAGAUGACGAGGACAAUCGGAUCGUAAAUCCAUACAUUUUUUUUAAUCAUAUGGAAUCUCUGUAACAUCAGAAACGAACAUAACCUUUAUUUAAAUAUCCAUAACCCACGAGUGCUGAUGCAACAUCGUUAAUUGCGUGCGCUGUUAGAAUCAUUAACGGACCGGUUCCUGUUAUUGGUUACUUAAUGGCGUCAUCAGCUGCAUGAUGACGUUUGUAAUUGUUAUUCUGAUUAAAAGGUUGACAAUUUGCUAUUAAAAAACAACAAACAGUUCAAAUUAGAAAAGGGAUAACUCAACAGUGUUUUAAAAUUUACAGAAAUAAUAAAAAAUAAUAGUAAUAAACAAUUCAGUAAUU